AUGUGGAGGAGAUCUGCAAAUAGUGAGCUAAGACGCCAGUGCAUAUUGCAAGUACCUGGAUAUACAGCCUCAUCAAGUACAAGUAAGGUACAAGAAGAAAUAUCUGAAUGGACAAGAUCUGAAAUUAGAAGUGAGCUAAAGAAGAAUGGAACUUUCAGAAGUUUUCAAGAAGUUACUUUUAAAGAGCAAUGUAUGACAGCUCCCUGCAGUGUCCUAAUGAGGAUACAGACUGAAAGAAUAAAGUAGUCUCAGGUCUUAUAGAAUCAGCCAAUCCACAAAAACUCAUUUGUAGUUUUCUCUGCAAAAGAAAAAAAUGAGCAGAGAGUAUACAUGUAAAUAUAGAGCAGAAGGAUAUGUCUUAAUUCCAACACAUGAACACAUUUGUUACAGAAUGGCAGAAAUAUAACUUUCAUGAUGGGAUAAGAUUGCUCACCUAAAUAGGAGGUGUCUUGCACAAAUGAUAAAAUUUAAUUUAAUUUAUACAAGAUUUUUUAGUAUUCUACUGCAUGAUCUUCCUACCUUUUGUAAUGUAGAAACGAUCUCUGCUCAUCGUUACAUUCAUUGCAAUAUGAAGUAUUUAAAAACUUCACCAUGUGCUACCUCAUGGUGACAGCUUGGUAUGAAUUUCAAAAUGUAGGUCCCCUAGGUAAGUCUAGAAUAAAUUCUAUUGUGCAUACA
rnacentral:lncRNA from 1 species